rnacentral:misc_RNA from 1 species
GGGACUACAAGGGUAUCUAAUCCUGUUUGAUACCCACACUUUCGAGCCUCAAUGUCAGUUGCAGCUUAGCAGGCUGCCUUCGCAAUCGGAGUUCUUCGUGAUAUCUAAGCAUUUCACCGCUACACCACGAAUUCCGCCUGCCUCAACUGCACUCAAGAUAUCCAGUAUCAACUGCAAUUUUACGGUUGAGCCGCAAACUUUCACAACUGACUUAAACAUCCAUCUACGCUCCCUUUAAACCCAAUAAAUCCGGAUAACGCUCGGAUCCUCCGUAUUACCGCGGCUGCUGGCACGGAGUUAGCCGAUCCUUAUUCAUAAAGUACAUGCAAACGGGUAUCCAUACCCGACUUUAUUCCUUUAUAAAAGAAGUUUACAACCCAUAGGGCAGUCAUCCUUCACG